GGCAACUUGGCCGAGCGGUCUAAGGCGCUAGAAUCAGGUCAUAAAACCAAUCUAGUCCUCCGGGGCGUGAGUUCGAAUCUCACAGUUGUCA